UUUGUAAUUUUAAUUUUCAGUUUAGAAAUGCGGAAGUUAGAUUUGUAGGCUUUAGUCCGUCCUGGUCAGUCCCGCAUGUGAACCCACAGUGUCAAGGAGAGUUUUUGAAACUACAGAUUUCAAGAGAGUGGUUUCGGAAGUGUCUUUUAUUGCAAGCCUUUGUUGGGGUCCACGUUAAAGUACUAUAAGUACGGCUGGACGAACCUGGGUGACCCCAGCACUGU